AAUGAGGGAACUGGUUUUCCAUCUAUGCAAGAGGUUCCAGUUGAGACAGGGGAAGAGAAUGAGAGAGUAGUUUUCUCUGCUGAUUCAAUUUUAUUCGAGUUUUUUAAUGGUGCCUGGAAGGAGCGCGGAAAGGGGGAACUCAAGGUGAAUGUCUCUACUGCUGGGACAGAAAGAGCCAGACUCCUUAUGAGAGCUAGGGGUAAUUACAGGUUAAUUCUGAAUGCAAGUCUUUACCCUGACAUGAAGCUCACAAACAUGGACAAGCGAGGUGUCACUUUUGCUUGCAUGAAUAGUACUGGUGAAAGUAAGGAUGGUCUUUCUACAUUUGCACUGAAGUUCAAGGAUGCCUCCAUAGUAGAAGAGUUCCGAGCAGCUGUAGCAGCAAAUAAAGUUAAAACGGCUACAGAUCUAAAGACACCAGAGAAUUCACCCAAGGCUUCGGAUGAGUGAAAGGAUCGCUGCAUCAAUACACAGAAUUCUUGUCCUUGGGCUGCUGUUUCCUUUUCUUUGCGGCAAAAGAGAAGAGCCUUGUUUUGGAGUCAUGCUUGAGACCUAUGUAGCAGAUCCUUUUUUAUUAUUUAACUUCAGUCUAGCCCUCAGGAGAAUGUUAUUAGUUUU
rnacentral:misc_RNA from 1 species